rnacentral:tRNA from 1 species
GCCGGAGUGGCGGAAUUGGUAGACGCACGGGACUCAAAAUCCCGCGGUCCUUGUGAUCAUGAGGGUUCGAGUCCCUCCUCCGGCACCA